rnacentral:rRNA from 1 species
AUUGAACGCUGGCGGCAGGCCUAACACAUGCAAGUCGGGCGAGCGGCGGACGGGUGAGUAAUGUAUGGGGACUGCCUGAUGGAGGGGGCUAACUACUGGAAACGGUAGCUAAUCCCGCAUAACAUCAGAUAACCCAUAUGGGAUUAGCUGGUAGGUAAGGGAACGGCUGACCUAGGCGACGAUCUCCAGCUGGUCUGAGGGGGUUACCAGCCACACUGGGACUGAGACACGGCCCAGAUUCAGACGGAGGCAGCAGUGGGGAAUAUUGCGCAAUGAGGUCAACCCUGACGCAGCAAUGCCGCGUGAAUGAAGAAGGCCUGCGGGUUUUAAAGUUCUUUCGGUAGCGAGGCGUUAACUACAGAAUAAGCACCGGCUAACUCCGUGCCAGCAGCCGCGGUAAUUC